GUUUAUUUUUAGGUAUAAAAUCACUCGUCGUGUAGGUUAAGGCGGCGGCUUUUCAGUUAGAUUAGGGCAUCGCCGCAACGAUCUAUGAUAAUCGUGUGUGUAUGUAUCUAUUUGAGUGUAAAGUGCUGAAUCGUUUCGUGAUGCUAUCUGUUUCGAAGUCCAAAAACAGUAAACAAUGAAGAAGAUGCUCCAGAAAAACAAAACAAUGAUCUGCCUGAUUGGGUUGGCAAGGGAAAACAGUAGUUCUACCAAACCCGCCUCAAAGUGGACAACGAGAAAUGCCAACAUUCUCAUUGCGAAAUUCCCACUUUGCUUGAUAUUUGUCAGACAACAAAAAUUAUUUGUUACAUUGGUCAUGCAGCUGAUAUGAGGCAAAAGAACCCAAAGGCUGGCAACCCAUUUAAUGAAAUUGCACCUAUUAAAUGGGAGAAAAUUUGUGACCACUGCGAGGGAUUCCUUGUGACUCGGCGAACUGUGUGCGAGAGAACAUCAGAAGAGCACACAAUUGCUGAAGGCGAAAGCAUUGGAAGCAGCUAUGAAUGACAUUAAUAACUCAUUUGGAAAAGGAGCUGUAACAAGAUUAGGCAAUGCUGGUGGAUCUCUUGUUGACUCUUUUCCAAGUGGCUGUCUGACAUUGGACAUUGCAUUGGGUGUCGGCCUUCCUAGAGGAAAUAUUGUUGAGGUAUGUUUUCGUACACACUUUGAGGUAUUGUAAAACAAACUCAGUACAAUCUUUUUCACGUGAAGAUUAUCUUGUUUAAUAUCCGGGAUACGUAUGGCUCAGAGAUGGUGAAGUAGACAAUGAAGAUGAUGCUCCAAAAAGAUGGAAAACAGUAACUAAGGCUGGCUAAUCUGCUACUUAUCUGCUAUUAAGAAGCUGCUGCUUGUCUACUUGGUUAUUUCGUUGAAGAUAAAACAACGCGACAUAUCGGGAACUUUUGAAAUUGCAAGAACUAAGUUAAAAGCUGGCAAUGUAGAUGAUUUUUUUCCAAGUAGUUGAACCUACCAAUGUAUUCCUUACCAUAUUGUCUUAUUCUUAUUUCUAUGUAACAUCAAUGCUCAAAAGACUUAAAAUCUAAGUUACUCAAGUAGUUUUUAUAUUUGUCUGUUUAUUUAUUUACCUAUAUAAUGUAUAUAAUACGUUUGUGUGAUGACAGAGGAUCGAUUCAGCACUUUGUAAAAAAAAUUCAUAGUUUACAUGCUACUCACUUGACGUAUAUGUAAUUAAUAUUAUUUUUAAAAUUUUAUACUAAAGAAUGUCAAAUCUUAUAUCUAUAUAAAGCAAAAUCUCGGGCGUCUUAUGUGGCGCUCUUUACGCUCUUGAAUCAAAAUCCCUGCUCUCUGCACUUUUGGCUAUUUCUUUUAUAUUUUCUCUCAGCUUGCCUAGCGGUUAUGUUCAGCCUGGGACUUGGACAGGCACUUCAGUUACCCGCUCCGUAACCGAGGUCUCUGUGCCUCCUCAGAGAUUUACUUAUAAAUGGCCUUCUCUGGACAAUCUUUUCACACCGGGGAAAGCCGAUCGGCAUGAAUAUGACGGAUUCAGCUAGAGGGUCAAAGCGGGAUAAAGUCUUAGAUUUGACAGAGGCAAGGAAAGGUGAGGAAAAUCCAGGCAUCCAGCUGUAUGCUCAAAAACAAACCUCCAGCGCAAGUGGAGACUGUUCUAAGUGACUGCUCCUCAGCAGCAGUUCACCAACCUAAGCGCAAGAGCCAUCGUUACAUUCCACAGGGAGAUCUUGUAUGGGCAAUCAGUUCAGACACGAUUCAUUCUCUCGUGGGACUCUCUGAACUUUUCUUUGUACUUCCGCUUAUGAAUUCAGUUCUAGGCCUGUGAGCUUUCAAGGAUGUUCUUGCAUUGGCGUCACUCGACAGGGCCAACAAUUGAGCUGUUGAGAAACAAAAAAAUAAAAGAGGCCUUCGAAGAUGGUUUUAGGAGUUGCGUAAAGAUUUUUAUGGCCAUUGAUCCGAAAUAUAUUGGGCAGACAAAUUUGGCGAAGGGGUGGCCAAAUGGAUGAAAGAAUUUUCUGUUAUGGAGGCCGUUGUAUUACUGAGAGAAAUGCUCUGUGAAAGCGAGAGAUAGAGCACACCUUUAAAAUCCAAUUACAAAAGAGGAUGUUUGCUCAGAGAAAACAGAGGAUGUACUUCAACUACUUUAACUUAAAAAUUUAUGAAAUGUUUUGGGACUUCUUUUAGUGUGAGCAGCCUUUGAGGCUUUGCAAAUUGUAGGAUAAUGGUGGACAAAAAUUGUCUUGUCUUGAUUAAGAUAUUGUAUAAGCUGCUAUUUAUUUGGUUCUCAACUUUUAGACAAAUGUGUUAUCUUUAAUGUAAAAGUUUAAAUUUGCAAUUUUAAAGUUUUUUAUUUUGUUU